GACGAACGCUGGCGGCGUGCCUAAUACAUGCAAGUCGAGCGAACAGACGAGGAGUUUGUUCCUUGGACGUUUGCGGCGCACGGGUGUGUAACAUGUGGAUAAUCCACCUAUAAGACUGGGAAAUCUUCGAGACACCGGCUCAAAUACCAUAUAAUCUAUUGAACCGUGAGGUUCAAUAGAAAAAGACGGUUUUGCUGUCACUAAUAGAUGGAUCCGCGCAGCAUUAGCUAGUUGGUAAGGUAACGGCUUACCAAGGCAACGAUGCGUAGCCGACCUGAGAGGGUGAUCGGCCACACUGGAGCGGAGACACGGCCCAGACUCCUACGGGAGGCACCAGUAGGGAUUCUUCCGCAAGGGGCGAAGGCCUGACGGAGCAACGCGGCGUGAGUGAUGAAGGUCUUCGGAUCGUAAAACUCUGUUAUUGGGGAAGAACAAAUUUGUAAGUAACUAUGCACGUCUUGACGGUACCUUAUCAGAAAGCCACGGCUAACUACGUG
rnacentral:rRNA from 1 species